AAGGGAGGCAUAGAUUCACACAGAGCUGUUUAAACCAAACCACGAAAUAAAGAAAAAUUACUCUGAACGCUUCUGGACUCACAUUUUUCUGGUACCCACUUUUAAUUUUCUCUUUGUUCAGUCUGUUGUCCUGCCCUGAAUUCUAUGGAGAUGGGGAGCAUGGUAGUCCUGCCUGGGUUUAAAUCAUUCUGUCUGUCUCUCAACUCCUGGUUUAACUCUCCCACACAAAGAAAGCAGCGAGGGAACCUAUAUUCAAUUCAAAUGUCAACCUUCUCCCGGCCGACACCUUUGCUAGGUACCUGAGUUAACCCCUUAGUCACUGGGUGCUAGUCAGCACUCCCCCUGCUCAUGACAGGGACUGAUCAGGUCCCGAGGAUGCCAAAUCAGAGCUGUCCAACCUCUAUCAGGCCCACUCAUCAUCUAGUAUUCUUAAGAUUAAACAAAGCUAAUAAAGUAACAUCAUGCAAAAGGUGAAGAUGAGCAGGACCUGUUUUUCCACUUUUCUUCAUCUGACUAAAUUCUAGGCAUAAUGUUUACAAACCUUUUAAAAUUAUUUAAGCAUACAGGAUCUUUUUGUUCACUUUUGUUCCUAAUACAUUCAGUUGUACUAAUUAUAUUUCCACAAACCACGUGGCAGAAUACAAUUCACACUGUAGAGGGACCAGUACUGCUCAACAUAUUCAUAAAUGAUGUGGAAAAAGGGGUAAAUAGUGAGAAGGUAAAUUCUGUAGGAUACAAAACUACUCAAAAUAGUUAAAUCCAAAAGAACUUACUGUACUUCCCUGAAGCAAGUCUGCAAUUCAGGAUUUAGCCAUACAGCCUCCACCCUGUGAUGUGGAGGGAGGUGAAGCUGGGGUGCAGGAGGCAGCCACGGUCCUGAACAGGAGGUGCAGGGAAUUGGGCAGCCACCAUGGAUGGGCUACCACAAGAUCUGGCAGCAUGUUGAAUCAUUGCUGGCGUAGUCACUCUAGGGCAAUCAGAAUGACUCAAGACUUGUCUUCCUUAAUCUUCAACAGGAUCCUGCUGAUCAAUGGGAUCGGAGGGAACAUAUACAGGCACUCCUCAGACCAUGACAGGAGGAAUACAUUGGAGAUUGUGUCCCUGUCGGGAGCAGAAGUGAAGACACUUCUUGUCUGGCCUGGUAAACAAGGUCUUGAUCCUUUACUGCUAGUUGUGCAGUAAGCGUCUCCUAAACAGCAAAUGGAAAAUAAUUAGAAGAGCCCUGAAAAACCUUGUAUUUCAACCCUUCUCACGACAUAGAAGCAGAGAUUAUUAUAUUUAUAUUAAAAAAGAAAGACUCUCAUCAUCAAGGAAAUUAAGCCUAUACUGGACAACAAAGUUGAAGAGUAAAUUAAGGAUUCAUCUACAUUUGAACUGAGAGAGUGAAUUGCCUGUGCAUACUACUGCUCCCUAUGGGCAGAAGGGAAAGAACAUUACUUUGUGCAAGUAAAAAGGAAGCAACUGACAAGACUGACCCAGCAACACAGGAACCUACAGAAACCCAGGUCCACCAAUCAAUCAGUAGAUGGUCCUAGUGGACAGUUUCCUACUGCCAAACAAGACUUCGCUAAUUCAAUCAGAGCAAGCCAGAUCCAUUGGGUUUAGCCAUGGAGCUUUCGAGCCAUGAGGUGGAGAAUUGAAAUUAGCAUGCUGAAGAACCAUCGUUACUGCACAAGAGCCCAGAACUGCCCUCCCGAUAGCAGCAUCCUCCCUGGCCAGUUGCGUGAUAGCAUAAUGCUCUGCAAAAGUGUGCACUGAUGUCCAGGUUGCUGCUCUGCAGAUUUCCAAGAUUGGCACGCAGGCCAGGAACGCCGCCGCCGUUGCCUGGGCUCUAGUGGAAUGUGCUGUUAUGCGCGGCCGUGGUCUACCCGCGCCCUCGUAGCACAGUCGAAUGCAGGAAAUAAUCCAUGAGGAUAUACGCUGAGCCGAGACUGGCUGCCUACACAUCCUUUCUGCCACUGAAAUAAACAAUUGAGUUGA